UACGUAGGGGGCAAGCGUUAUCCGGAUUUACUGGGUGUAAAGGGAGCGUAGACGGUAUGGUAAGUCAGAUGUGAAAGCCCGGAGCUCAACUCCGGGACUGCAUUUGAAACUAUCAGACUAGAGUGCAGGAGAGGUAAGUGGAAUUCCUAGUGUAGCGGUGAAAUGCGUAGAUAUUAGGAGGAACACCAGUGGCGAAGGCGGCUUACUGGACUGUAACUGACGUUGAGGCUCGAAAGCGUGGGGAGCAAACAGG
rnacentral:rRNA from 1 species